rnacentral:lncRNA from 1 species
UUUUUUUUUUUUUUUUUUCGUGUGGAAACGAUAGGAUUCAACUAUGCUUUCUUGACAGGUAACCUUUUACACAUUUGGUAAUGACGAAACUCCUACUUUACUUUCUGUUGAAACUAGAGAGCUAAUCUCAAGGCCUGGACCUUAAGUCAUGUUACAAUAAAUAAAAUCAGUAAGGACCAUGAAGACUGUUUGAUCUACAGCCUACAUCUAAUACGUGAAAAGUCGUCUGAUUUCAUUAAUGACUAUUAAGCAUUGUAGAGCUGUCAAAGUAUGUCGACUACAGCAUGCUCAGUGUAAGUAAAAUUUAGUCAUUAUUCUUGCAUGUGAGGGUUUAAGGAGACAAAGUAGGAAUUUUGGAUCCAAUUUAUUACAAAAUAAUAACAAAAAAGAGGAUUUAACCAGGUUGCGACUCUAAUUUGACAUGAUAGCCAGUACCUCGAAUACCAAGAAGUAUACUGUACUUCGAAAGGACUGAGGAUUUGUGAUGAGGGACAGCACAAAGAAAUGCUUUUGUUCUGCACAAGUUUGCAGAGAGGAAGAAAUUCUGAUGCACAGUGACUAAUGAAAUUCCAAAGACCUGUGUACUUUCUAGUGAUUAUCAAAGGUAAAUGAAGUAUGUAAAACUUAAUUAGUUUAAACAUCUUCAAUAGAUCUGCAGUCAACUUUUCCAUGCCUUGCCUAUAAUAAACUCUCAGUGGUUCAUUAUUAUUUGUUUCAAGUAGUGACCAUACAUUGUGACAAAAGAGUUUGUUUCAAAUUUACUGGAUCAAGGGCCACAGUCUUCAUUAUGAAAAUAAUUAGGUAUUCAUUGUUAUGUUGUAUAUGCAAGUGCACAAAUUUUAUUUGUCUUUCAACUAUAUAGAACAUAAACUCAUCAUGGUAGCCAAUAGAACUUGAUUGUGUACUGAGUGAUGCUUCUUGACACAAAUUCACGGUUCCAAAAUACUGCAUCUUCCUCUAUAUUCACCUUGUGUACAUGUGAUCAGGCCCAAACUCAAUAUUUGUGCAUUGACUGGCAGUGAAUGUAAAAUUGAGCAGACCUUGACACCAAUUUGUCUCUAUCUAUUGUCCUAACAGAAAUGAAUCUGACCAGCUGGUCAGAAAACACCAGUGAACAGCAAUAAACAAAAACAACC